GGUAAUUGCAUGAGUUGCACAUGACAUGUCGCUUGUCAACAUACUGUGUAAACGUUGUUGUUUAUAUACCUUGCUUUUUCCAGAAUAUUAUAACGAAAACAUUAGUGUUGGGCCUCAUACCAGUUUUACAAAUGCAUGUAGGCUAUUGCAAGUACAAAGGUCAACAUCAUUCAUCAACAGCCUGUACAGAAACUGGACCGCCUCCCAAUGUUUUGAAAUUAUCUUCGCCCCUGACAGGUUAAGCAGUGGAGUGUAUGUGAGGAUGCAUCCAUUGGCUUCUACAGAUACAGUGACAAGUUUACACGUGUACAAGAAUGCCUCCUACAGUCAAGAUUAGCUCUAAAAUGAUGGUUGUCAGUACAGAUGCUGCAAAUGCUGCUGUGGUGAUGCCAGCCUAAGACUCAUAUGUAUGCCAUAAAAGAUACGAAGCCAUAACCUAACCUUUCACGUCAGCGCCAGCUUCUGAGGAAUCCCAACGAUUACUGCUUCUAUGAGCCAGUCACAGCCCACCCCUUAUCUCUACCAAAACGCAAUUACCACACAGGCUUUUUUUCAAAGACCGCACCGCUUUCUGCAUGUACCAUGGUCUGUGGAAUAAGCACCAAUCUGUUGGGCUGAGUGCAGUAUGGGAUCUAACAGCAGACCAGAUCUUGUGAAUCAGAGACCGGAAAUCAAUCGGGUACCAUUUGACAGUUGGCUUUCAUGUCACUAGGUCAAAGGUCAAGGUCACAGUGACAAAAAACGUAUUCACACAAUGGCUGCCACUACAACGGACAGCCCAUAUGGGGCAUGCAUGUUUUACAAACAGCCCUUAUGUGUGUACAGUGCCAGAAGUCUGAUCCAUCGAAGCCACCCAACAAUUCUGAACUGAAAACAAUCCAUGUCCAGCAAGCAAUGCAUAUGAAAUAGUGGGAUGCUAUUUGAUGGGUUCCUUCACUGAGGCGUGAGCUGGGAACCGCUACAUAUUCACAGCCACUGACUUCUAUACCAAAUGGAUGGAACCCUUUGACAUUCCUUGCAAGAUCUUUAUGAACAUUUGAUGACCAUCACCCACACCAGACUGGCCUUAAAGAAUGAUUAUGCCCCCAUCAUGAGCUAAGAAGAGUCUGGAUAAAGUUUGCAAUCAAGUUGAAAGGUUGGAGACUACAUAACACUUUGAUAGAUGGCGGGAAACCCUCUUCAUCUAGAGAAUACCCGGUAGAGGAAUGUCUGCGACUAAGACAAGGGCCACUGGAUAAGGGUUGUUGAUGGCAAAACAGAUUGUGUAUACUUAACCAGCACUGAUAUUGUGACAGCCAAAUGAAACAUUCAGCCCUAUUACAGCCACAUGAAAUAUUCAGCACUAACAGUGAGGUUUGUGGGCAUCGGGUGCAUGAAAGUGAAGUGGAACUAUUGUCACCAAGGAAGGAUUUUGAUAACACAAAAAUAUAAAACCCAGUAUAGUUAAAAGGAACCAGAUUAUUGUUUAUAGUUAUAUUGCUGAACAGUGGUUAAUUUAUGCAUUCUUUUAAAGAUGCAAUUAUACAUAAUGAUGUUAGAGGCAUACAUGAUGGUUAAGAAUCUGAAAGUGUUGACAUCUUGACUCAUUACAAUUAGUGUACCUUUCAUUAUUUUUGUUUAAGUGGUUAUUAUUAUAGCAAGUUUUUACUUAUUAUGCUGAUUCAUUAUGAGUAAUGUGUGAAUCGUUAAAGAUAAUUCAUCCAUUUAGAACAAUGGUGUUAUUCUCAGUAACUCAUUCAAACAUGCGAUGUAUAUCUAUCUCACUAAAUAUAUACUACAUGUACAUAUCUUAUUUAACUACUUAUUGUAAGGCAUCAUUGAAAAAUGAUUUAGGAAAACAAAGAUAUGGUUAUAUUUUAAUGGUUGAAUACACGUGUUGCAAUGUUAUUGACUGUACAUAUCCUUUAGGUAUAGCUUAAAGUUACUGUUUUAUGGUACAUUGAAAACAGUUCAAAUAUAAGAAAUGAUAUAUAAAUAAAUCAUGUGUGUAUUGAAUAAAUACUCAAAUAUUUGAAAACAAUAUCUCCCUUGUAAAUAUGUAAAAAAAAAAAUAGUUUGAUUGAUUUAUAUCCGUUUAUCAAAGUAUUUAAUUGUAGUGAGAUAUGUACUUAAAGAAUCAAGUCUGGUAUGGUCAGUCAUGCCUCUACAACAAAUUCUUAACAAAAACUUCCUCUUAUUCUCUUAAAAUAGUUUAUAUUGUUCCAUCAAAUAUAUGUUGUUCUUUAGGGACAGAUUGGAUUUAAAUAUUUUAAUCCUUGUUUUUUCAAAACAUGUACUAUUUUUACAUUAUCUUUACUCUUAACACAAUUUAAAGUGUAACAAUGCAGAUGCCUUUAUUUAAUUUAGUACUAUUACCUGUAUUUACAGAGAAUCUUAGUUUUGGUAAUCAUUUUAUUUAGGUCAGACUUUGUGACUAGUAAUAAAAUUAGAAGUAUAAUAUAUUGAUGAUAUUCUUCUCUGCCCUUGCCAAAUAUCUAUUGGACUGUCAGAUAACUGACAAGAUCUAGGUCAUUCAGGGAGUGAAAGCAGCCAGCACUCACCAGAUAAUACAGUCAUGAGACUGACGUCUGUCUUCUUUUAAAACUGUGUAAAUUUUAUACAAAUUCGACAUACCCGUAGUUCUAUUGUAACUGUGUUGGAUUUGACACAACAUUGUUUUAUGUUUUUAAGGGGAUUAUUGUUCCAAUGGCAUUGACCUGAUAUUCUUUAUUUUAAAACAUUUUUUAAAUAAGUAUAACGUUAGUUCUCCCUUUACAUUUUUCAGUGUCUUCAUACAACCAUAUUUUAUGGCAGUUUUUAUUAAAAGAAAGGACGAGACCGUCCAGUAACCUGGAAUUGUUGGCUGCAUUGCCCCCUCUCUUCCCCUCUGACACCCUCCCCCAUCCCCUUCAAACUAAAAGAGCCAUGUCAGACUGGAGUGCACAGUGUAGGGCCAUAUACCUUGCAAAAAAAAAUCUUUAGCCCUAUCCAGGGUAAUAACAAUUUUUUGGUAUUAUUGUAUUUUCUUAAGAUUGCUACAAUUGUAUUUUGUUCUUUAGAGCAAAUUAUGUACUCUUGUACUUUUUUCCGUAAUUCUUGUUAAAAUUGCUAUUUUGUUUUAUAUAGCUAAUAACAUACUCUUGUACUAAUUUUUUUUUGGACACGACAUCCUCUAUAUUUUAUAGGAUAGAUAAGACCUUCUUGUGGGCUAUUUCCUGCAUUGUAGCAUAAUUUGGUCUUUUUACCAAUUUUAUAUUUUACUGGAAUUUCACAGUAUUACAAAUAUCUUUUUGUCUUAAUCCUUUAUUCAUUAUUUUCCAUGUGUACUUCUAAUUAGUUACCAUUUACCGUGCACUCUCUGGUCCAGGGGACAAAACGGUUGUAAAAGUACUCCUCCACACCCAAUUGUCUCCCAUAUACCCAUCCCAGUUGUACUACCCCUGCUUGCAACCCCCUACCACACCAGCCUUCACUUCCAUAACUCCCCCUUUUAGCCCCCCAGGGUGGCAACUUGUAUUUUAGCUAUAAAGAAAUGCAUGUAGUAUUGUACAUAAUGUAAAUAAUCUACUUUUAUGUAUAAACAUAGUUGUUAACUGUAAAGUACAUUGUUUUACUUUCUAAUUUGUAUGUGGCCCUAUAAAGGUGACCAUUUGGCGACAAGUUAGUCAUUACCUUUAUUAUAUAAAUAUUAUUAUUAACUUUCCUUUUAAAUAUUGUCAUAACGCCACUCUGGGGGGAUGUCUCUUCUUCAUAGCCCAUUCUCUUCAGAGUUCCAUACAGACAUGUGGGAGCAUUACGGCUAUAUUCCCUGUCUGCAAGAGUUCAACAUUGAACCACGCAUACAAAUAUAUAUUAAAUACAAUUUUAAACUAAUUUACAUUACAAAAUACAAUUGUAUGUCAUAUUUCUAUAUAAAUGCAUGUAUGCAUGCCAAUCCCCUAUCACAGAGGAGAGCUGUUUAACCAGGCUCUACCUUUCCAAAUAAUUAAUAUUCAUAAUUCUGUAUAUUUCCCCAUUGCUUUUGUCUCUUUAUACAACAUAUAACUCAAACACUAGAUUUACACCUAUUUUUGGAUUUUAUUAAGUUUGGAAACAUUGAGUGGCAAUGUAAAACCACUUUGUGAUCUAAUAAUCCCUAAAAUAUUAAUAUUUUUGUUUAUUUCAAACAUAGUACACAUCAGUGUAACUUUCUUUUCCAAGUAACAUACAAUUUAAAGUAAUUCCAUUUGAUAUUAACAUCUAAAUAAACGGUUAAAAGUCUUUAACAACUCCAAUGCAGCAUAUGCUGAACAAUGGGUCUAGUUCUGAUGAUGCCACAUACCCGGUACAACAGUAUGUGUUUCCACCAUCCCUACUUAUAUAAAUUGGGCUAUUCUCUCGUUCUUUUUUAACAUAAACAACAACAAUAAAAUAAUAUAACACCUCCAUAGUAGUUUGUCAGUAUAAAACAAUUUAUAUGACUCUUAAUGCAAUUAAAAUUUAAGUACUUUUGGAUUUAAUUAUCCUUUUUUCUCAUAUAUUUCCUGUCAUGAAAUUUUUGCAUUGUUUACAUUAUAUAUAGUGAACCCUAUGUUAAGGUCAUCAAUGUACACAUUUCUCAAUCCAAAACGGAUUUACUUACUUGACUUAUUUAGUAAAGCAAUUUAAACCAAUCAGCGCCAUCCUUUCAAUAAACUGUUAUCAAAUGGAAACAGCGCUUUCUUAACAACGUUAUAUAGGCAAAGUUGUUAUGUUGAGUAUUGCGUUUAUAACGCCCUUUAUUAGAUUGUUAUGCCCCCCCUGGAUCCAAAAAUCGGGGGUAUAUUGUUUUUGGUCUGUCUGUCUGUCUGUCUGUCUGUCUGUCUGUCUGUCUGUCUGUCUGUCUGUCUGUCUGUCUGUCUGUCUGUCUGUCUGUCUGUCUGUCUGUCUGUCUGUCUGUCUGUCUGUCUGUCUGUCUGUCUGUCUGUCUGUCAUUGUAUGUGUGUAUGUGUCACAAAGCUUUAACCUUGGUUAAACUUUUAUAACUUUUGCAAUAAUGAAGAUAGCAACUUCAUAUUUGGCAUGCAUGUGUCUCAUGCAGCUGCACAUUUUGAGUGGCUAAAGGUCAAGGUCAUCGUUCAAGUUUCAACGCAGAGUAUUUAUGUUAACCGAAGUCCCGAGGGUAAUUGACCCCAUUAGUCAGUUAGUAUUGAUGAUAUAUCUAUGCAUGAAAUGAAGAGAAGAAUUAAUGUGUUUUAAACACAUUUCUCAUAAUAUACUAGUACUUGUUUUUACUAAAUGUUCAAUAAGUUAAUUUUAUUGUAUUGUGUUGUUCUAUACCUGUGUUAAUGAUCAAAUAACUACAGCUUUUUUCUUCCUGAAUGGCUUAUGAAAAUGAAAUAUGUAUGCUGUAUUAUAAUUAUACUUUUUGGUAUUCCUUUAACAUCCAAAUGUGCAAACCUGCUUAUCAUGUUAGUUCAAAGCCGUGCAAUAAAUUGUGUUCCAUUUA